GUGAGGAAUAUUGCGCAAUGGAGGCAACUCUGACGCAGCCAUGCCGCGUGCAGGAAGAAGGCGCUACGCGUUGUAAACUGCUUUUAACCGGGAAGAAACCCCAGGACGUGUCCUGGGUUGACGGUACCGGAGGAAUAAGCACCGGCUAACUUCGUGCCAGCAGCCGCGGUAAUACGAAGGGUGCAAGCGUUAUCCGGAUUCAUUGGGUUUAAAGGGUGCGUAGGCGGAGCGUUAAGUCAGUGGUGAAAUCCUGCAGCUUAACUGUAGACUUGCCAUUGAUACUGGCGCUCUUGAGUGCGCUUGAAGUGGGCGGAAUGUGCCGUGUAGCGGUGAAAUGCUUAGAUAUCGCACAGAACACAAAUUGCGAAGGCAGCUCACUAAGGCGAUACUGACGCUGAGGCACGAAAGCGUGGGGAUCGAACAGGAUUAGAAACCCGAGUAGUCC
rnacentral:rRNA from 1 species